UUCGCAAUGCCCGAAAGGGUGACGAUGCGACGCCGCGUGAGCGAAGAAGGCCCUAGGGUUGUAAAGCUCUGUCGAGGGUUAUGAAAUAUAGAUGGGUUAAUACCCCAUUUAUUUGACAAAAGCCCAAGAGGAAGCCACGGCUAACUCUGUGCCAGCAGCCGCGGUAAUACAGAGGUGGCGGGCGUUGUUCGGUAUUAUUGGGCGUAAAGAGCACGUAGGUGGUUUUGUAAGUCAGGUGUGAAGGCCUUCUGUUCAAAGGAAGAACGGCAUCUGAAACUGCAGAUCUUGAGUGUAGGAGGGGAGAGUGGAACUUCUGGUGGAGCGGUGAAAUGCGUAGAUAUCAGAAGGAACGUCGGCGGCGAAAGCGACUCUCUGGCCUAUUACUGACACUGAGUGUGCGAAAGUUAGGGGAGCAAACGGGAUUAGAUACCCCGGUAGUCCUAACUGUGAACGAUGGGCACUAAGUAGAGGGGUUUU
rnacentral:rRNA from 1 species